rnacentral:lncRNA from 1 species
UCUUGAGCCACAUCCCCAGCCCUGGAAUUUUUAUUUAUUCAUUCAUUCAGUCCUCAGAAUUUAUUGAAUCCCUUCCUUCCAUAUGCCAGGUAUUGAUGUAGGUGCUGGGAAAUACAUCAGUGAACAAAACUGACAAUCUUCUGCCUUCAAAGAACUUAUAUUCAGAUUUAAAAAAAAAACCAACAUUUACAAUGUAAUUCAGAGCAGUUAACUCAAUCAAAACAAAAACUAAUCAGAUAAGAUAUUCUUUGAUAAAGCCUUAAUAACCUUAGAAAGUUUGAGCUGCCUACCUUUCAUUAUGUAUAAGAAAUAGAAAUUCACUCGUUUUUUUGCUUUAAGAAAGAUUUACCUGACUUUAUUUAUUUUUUUCAUUGUCUCUAUAUGCCUGUCAUUGAGGUUUGAACCAGUAAAAGCAGAGGGCUAGGUUAUUAUUCAUUCAGUGAUUAACUACCCAAGCAUCUCUUCUUGAACCAGGCAUUAUUAUGAAGGGUCCAGAAGGUAUAGUCUUGUGCCAAACCAGAUAAACCCUUCUCUUAUACAAAUUAAGAAACAUGGUAAAUAGUUGGGAGUUAAGAGAUCAAGGUUAUGCCAAUUUUUUAAAAAAUAUUUUUUAUUUGUAGUUGGACACAAUAUCUUUAUUUUUUAAAUUUAUUUUUAUGUGGUGCUGAGGAUUGAACCCAGAGCCUUGCAUGUGCUAGGUGAGUGCUCUACUGCUGAGCCACAAUCCUAGCCCAGGUUAUGCCAAUUUUAGAACAAUAUAUAAUAAUUAUUUUUUUCUUUGUUUCUUUUCUUUUUUUUUUUUGUGUGUGUGUGUGUGGUGCUGAGGGAUUGAAUUUAGGGCCUUAUGCAUGUGAGGCAAGCACUCUAUCAACCGAGCUAUAUUUCUAGUCCCAAUGAUUAUGUUUUUAUAUAACUAAUGUAGCCACACUACUAAAUUAAGAGGAAAAAAAUCAAGGGAAUUUUUUUUUUAUUUCUUCACUAUAGCAUAAUCAUGUUCAUAAAUGUUUUGUUAUUUUUGAAGAAGUGGUAGUAGUACCAGGUGUGGUAAU